rnacentral:lncRNA from 1 species
CAUGAAUAUUCAUGUUUAAUAUUCAUGUGGGCGGGGCGCCCACUGAAACAGAAAAUCUCGGAAACCGAAAAUCUCGUAACAUCGGACACAUGGAGCAGAUAAAAACAGCGUCAUCAUACCCACAGAUUUUAGGUACAUGCUGCUCAGGGACUGUGGGCUGAUAUCCUCAUAUAAUCCUGCAUGAAACGGCCAAGGAAAACCCC